rnacentral:rRNA from 1 species
AAACCAGCACCUCAAGUGGUCAGGAGGAUUAUUGGGCCUAAAGCAUCCGUAGCCGGCUCAGUAAGUUUUCGGUUAAAUCUGUACGCUCAACGUACAGGCUGCCGGGAAUACUGCAGAGCUAGGGAGUGGGAGAGGUAGACGGUACUCGGGAGGAAGUGGUAAAAUGCUUUGAUCUUUCGAUGACCACCUGUGGCGAAGGCGGUCUACCAGAACACGUCCGACGGUGAGGGAUGAAAGCUGGGGGAGCAAACCGGAUUAGAAACCCGAGUAGUCC